rnacentral:lncRNA from 1 species
AGUGGAGGAGGAGGAGAGGUGGAAAGUGUCUUGGGGCGACGGGGAGGACGGCGAGGUGGCCGUGGAUGCGUUCGGCACCGUCGUCGUCUGCAAUGGGCACUAACCCGUGCCCAAGCUCCCAGGUGAGAGGCGCAAUGCCUAGUUUCUCCCCCCUUCCUUCCUUCCGGAUCUUCUCAACUCAGAUCAGGGAAACAAAAUUAUGAGCUGCUGUCAGAAGAGUUAUUAAUUUUGAUUUCGCGACUUAAGAACUGAGAAGAUGCACAGCCACAGAUACGCAUUCCAGAGGCAGAUGGCCUCAGGUGUUGCUAAUUUGGAUUGACCCCUGAUGUUGAGGUGAUAACUUAUUCCUUCUUUUGGAGUUUGUUCCUUAGUACCGGAUAUGCAAUAUUAGGAAUUGAAGUGCUGAAUUGGCUUUUGUUCAUGUUGCAACAGUGGUUGAUGUACAUGUUGACUAUGCAUUGAUCCUGAUUCAUGAUGGGAUGCUCCUCACUCCUCAGCCAUGCUACAGGAUGCGCGUCACGGGAUUCCGCCUUAUAUGCAAUGCACAUAUUUUAGUGAGAAAAUUACUAGCCAUGAUAAAUACUACCCAAUUGCUAUCUAUCAUGAUGUUGUUUGACCACUGUUCAACUGCCAUAAUUUUUACACCUAAUGACCAGAUUAUUUUAUCUUAGUUGUCAUGUUGUAUAUAGUCGGUUGCCAUGAUGUUUAACAAUCAUUCAAUUGCCAUAUUUUUUACACGUAGUGACCAGAUUAGUUGAUCCUACUUGCCACAUUGUUUUACAAGAGCUCAACUGCCAUAUUUUACCUCUAAUGACCAUAUUAUUUGAUUCUACUUGUCAUGUUAUUUUCACCGUUCAAUUGCCAUAUUUCUUUAUCCCCAAUGACCAAAUUAUUUCAUCAUAGUGGCCAUAUUGUUUACCACCGCUCAAUUGCCACAUUUCCUACCCUUAGUGACCAAAUUAUUUGAUCCUAGUUGCCAUGUUAUUUUAUCACCGCUCAAUUGCCAUAUUUUUUAUUCCUGGUGACCAGAUUAUUUGAUCCUAAUUGAGAUAUUAUUUUACCAUCGCUGCGAUUGCCAUAUUUUUAGUCUAGUGACCAGAUUAUUUGAUCAUAAUUGUCAUAUUUUCUUUAGCAUCGCCCAAUUGCCAUAUUGUGUACACCUAGUGACCAGAUUAUAUGAUUCUAAUCGCCAUGUUCUUUUAUCACCACUCAAUUGUCAUAUUUUUUUUACGUCUAUUGACCAUAUUAUUUGAUGUUAAUUGCCAUGUUAUUUUACCACCGCUCAAUUGCCAUAUUUUUUAUCCUUAAUGACCAGAUUAGUUGAUCCUAGUUGCCAUGUUAUUUUACCGUUGCUCAAUUGCCAUAAUUUUUGUCCCUAACGACCACAUUAUUGAUCUCAGUUGCCAUGUUGUUUUCCCACUGCUGAAUUCCACACUCAGCUUUGUGACAGUUUCAAGAAUGUCCGUUAAAUUAUAUGGUGACGACAUUAAGAGACAUUGGACUGAUCAAUAUAAUGGGUUGUCAAUGGAGAUAGGAUUGUGGUAGUGGCAGUGCAAUGACGGCAAGAUGUGAAUGUGUAUUUGUAUAGAUUGUAAAUUAUGACUUGGUCCUGAUUUGGUGGUGUUAUGUUAUGAUUUUGUUGUAAAUUUUGUCAUGCGUGUAAUGUAGUUGUAUGUACUACUUUUAGGGUUGAAGUGCUGGUCGGAGCGAUGUGUGAAAAUGAUUUAAUCAGUAUCUAGACCUGUUGUCGGAUGCAUUAGUCACUAUGUAUGGAAGAGCGAUUUAAUAUGUAUGGGUCAAGCUCUAUUUGUCGAAAGAAUUAAGCUAAUUGAAAACAAUAAAGCCAAUCCAUCCCCAGCGUGAGAGCGCGCGGUACGGCAGCUGGCAGGAGGCGUAAAGCCAAUCCAUUCCUCUAGGUCCUCUUCUUGGAAGAAGCUCGUCUGCUGCUGCAGGUGGUGGUGGUGGUCGUCGUCCUUGAGGAAGAGGCCAAGAGGGCGCAAGAAGCUGCGCGAGCCGACCAUGUACUGAUCUUGAGGCCGAGCAAGGCCGAAGAACUCCAGGUCGAUUU